UACGUAGGCAGCGAGCGUUGUUCGGAGUUACUGGGCGUAAAAGAGUGCGUAGGCGGUGCUCCAAGUCUGGUGUGAAAUCUCCCGCUUAACCGGGAGGGUGCGCCGGAAACUGGGGGUGCUGGAGUGUGGGAGAGGUAAGCGGAAUUCCCGGUGUAGCGGUGAAAUGCGCAGAUAUCAGGAAGAACACCAAUGGCGAAAGCAGCUUUCUGGGACGGUACUGACGCUGAGACGCGAAAGCGUGGGGAGCGAACAGG
rnacentral:rRNA from 1 species